ACACUGUCUGUGAAUCAGAGACCAACAUAUCCUGUAACAAAACACACAGUCAGGAAUCAUGACUAUAGCCGGCAAUCGCUCACAGAAUUUUUGUUUGCUUUUCCUACAACUUGCAGGGGGAGUGUUUCCAACAGUGGACAGAUCAAUGGUUUCACUGAAUUGGAAGCUGGGACUGCCACAAGGCCUUGCUAGUCUCAUCCCUGAGACCAAGUGCCUAAGGGUGUGAUGCUGGAGUAGUGGCAGCCAUCUUGAGACCAUGAGGGAACAAGCCUGAGACUAUACUGGAUCCUUGAAGACAUGAAGACAUUGGUGAGCUACUGAAUUAAUCAACCUUGGAGAAACCCUAUCACCAGACUCCUUGUUGCUUGUGGUUGACAUUGUUAACUGUCCUCUCAUGACCAUUCUUCCUGUCAUCCUUCUAGUAAUAAAACGUAUUGAGUUUUAGUUGGACAUCUGGGAGCCCCAGUUGCAAACUACCCUUUCUAGCAUCCUUGGCAGUUGGGUGUGGUCAUGUGACUAAGUCCAGGCCGAUGGGACAUACACAGAAGUGAUUCCUACAAUUUCUGUAUUAUUUCCUUAAGGAUGUUUGCCUUCACACUACUAUAUAUAAAAUAGACAACUGAUAAGGACCUAUUGUACUCUACUCAAUAAUCUGUAAUGACCUACAUGGGAAAAGAAUCUAAAAAAGAGUGGAUAUAUGUAUAUGUGGGUUUCCCUCGUGGUUCAGACAGUAAAGAAUCACUUUCACUUUUCAUGCUUAUGUAUACAACUCGUUCACUUUGCUGUGCA
rnacentral:lncRNA from 1 species